GAUGAACGCUGGCGGCGUGCUUAACACAUGCAAGUCGAACGAUGAAGCCCAGCUUGCUGGGUGGAUUAGUGGCGAACGGGUGAGUAACACGUGAGUAACCUGCCCUUGACUCUGGGAUAAGCCCGGGAAACUGGGUCUAAUACCGGAUAGGAGCGCCUGUCGCAUGACGGGUGUUGGAAAGAUUUUUCGGUCAUGGAUGGACUCGCGGCCUAUCAGCUUGUUGGUGAGGUAAUGGCUCACCAAGGCGACGACGGGUAGCCGGCCUGAGAGGGUGACCGGCCACACUGGGACUGAGACACGGCCCAGACUCCUACGGGAGGCAGCAGUGGGGAAUAUUGCACAAUGGGCGGAAGCCUGAUGCAGCGACGCCGCGUGAGGGAUGACGGCCUUCGGGUUGUAAACCUCUUUCAGUAGGGAAGAAGCGAAAGUGACGUACCUGCAGAAGAGCC
rnacentral:rRNA from 1 species